AACCGGGAUUGCCUCAGUAACGGCGAGUGAAGCGGCAACAGCUCAAAUUUGAAAUCUGGCCCUCGGGUCCGAGUUGUACUUUGCAGAGGAUGCUUCUGGCGAGGCGCUGCCCAAGUCCCCUGGAACGGGGCGCCGGAGAGGGUGAGAGCCCCGUACGGUCGGCGGCCGAGCCUGUGCGAAGCUCCUUCGACGAGUCGAGUAGUUUGGGAAUGCUGCUCUAAGCGGGAGGUAGACCCCUUCUAAAGCUAAAUACCGGCCAGAGACCGAUAGCGCACAAGUAGAGUGAUCGAAAGAUGAAAAGCACUUUGAAAAGAGGGUUAAACAGCACGUGAAAUUGUUGAAAGGGAAGCGCUUGCGACCAGACGUGCGCCGGGGUGCUCCGCGGGCGUUCUCGCCCGCGCACUCGCCCCGGCGCAGGCCAGCGUCGGUUCGGAUGGGGGGACAAAGGCGCCUGGAACGUGGCUCCCCCGGGAGUGUUAUAGCCAGGCGCGCCAUGCCCCCGCCCGGACCGAGGUUCGCGUUCUGCAAGGACGCUGGCGUAAUGGUCCCCAGCGGCCCGUCUUGAAACACGGACCAAGGAGUCGAGGUUUUGCGCGAGUGUCUGGGUGACAAACCCGCACGCGCAAUGAAAGUGAACGCUGGUGGGAGCUUCGGCGCACCACCGACCGAUCCUGAAGUUUACGGAUGGAUUUGAGUACGAGCGCAGGGCCUCGGACCCGAAAGAUGGUGAACUAUGCUUGGAUAGGGUGAAGCCAGAGGAAACUCUGGUGGAGGCUCGCAGCGGUUCUGACGUGCAAAUCGAUCGUCAAAUCUGAGCAUGGGGGCGAAAGACUAAUCGAACCGUCUAGUAGCUGGU
rnacentral:rRNA from 1 species